CCACUCCACCAUCACUGCUGCAGUGUCUCAGUCUCUGACCUUCCUCAGGAACCAUGCAAGCAUUUGUUCCCAGGCUGUAUCUGACUCCGGUCAGGGAUGAAGAAGCAGAGUCUCAGAGAAAAGCAAAGUCUCGUCAUGCCAGACAGACGCGCAGGUCAACACAGGGUGUGACUCUGUCGGACCUAAAAGAGGCUCAGAAGACCAAGAGCUUUCCUCCUCAGGAC